CUCCGAGCCUCCUCGUCCACAGUUCAGUUGUCAAAAACCUCUCCCAACUCUUGACUCUAUUCUCUUCUCCCAAGUCCCAACACUCCUCCCUGCAUUGUUUCCAUCAACCUUUGGCUUCUCAUCAAAAUCAUAUCAAAGACCAAACCUUUAAUCCAUCCCACGUUUUUUGACAUGUGAAUGGCUCAAGGUGAUGUCCUGAAAUUGGUGUUUGCGGUUGGAGUUUGGUGUGCUGCUUACGUCACCGUUGCUGUUCUUGCUUCGUUUCGUGUUUUAAGCUACGUCUGCAGCUGCGCGCUAUGAAUCUGGUGCUGAAUGUCAAGUGGGUCGCGGAGUAUCUGCAAUGCUUACAGUUAUUCUUGGCCCGACUGGUUACACUAUUGAGAAGAGCCAGGAGAAGAUUCAACUAGGCAUUAAAGGGCUUGAGAAUAUCACAGUUGUGGAAAGUUUCAUUUGUAAAAUUAUACGGAGUCAGACAAUAAGUUAAUUCUAAAUCAGGCAUUUAUGCGAGUGUGAAUAGUUAACUGAAAAUGAGUAAUGAGUUUGUUUAAGCAAUUCUCCCAAUUUUCUUUAA